rnacentral:rRNA from 1 species
UUGGGUUAAGUCCCGUAACGAGCGCAACCCUUGUCCUUAGUUACCAGCACGUUAGUGGUGGGCACUCUAAGGGAGACUGCCGGUGACAAACCGGAGGAAGGUGGGGAUGACGUCAAGUCAUCAUGGCCCUUACGGCCUGGGCUACACACGUGCUACAAUGGUCGGUACAAAGGGUUGCCAAGCCGCGAGGUGGAGCUAAUCCCAUAAAACCGAUCGUAGUCCGGAUCGCAGUCUGCAACUCGACUGCGUGAAGUCGGAAUCGCUAGUAAUCGUGAAUCAGAAUGUCACGGUGAAUACGUUCCCGGGCCUU